rnacentral:lncRNA from 1 species
UCUGGAAUGCUGAAAACAUUUUCUUCCCCUGUAGAUAAGGUUGUGCAGGUCAGUAUGUUGAGAACUGGACUUAGUUCAGUGCUAGUGUUUUGAACCUGGUAUGUUUUUGCAGCUUCCUGUCAAUUUUCAAGUCAUUUGGAGUCCAGUAGCUUGUGUUUUGAUUGCUGUCAAAAGGCUUCAGAACAGAAACAGAAACUCAGGUGCAGAAAUUUUCACUAAGUCC